rnacentral:rRNA from 1 species
UGAAACUCAAAGGAAUUGACGGGGGCCCGCACAAGCGGUGGAGCAUGUGGUUUAAUUNGAAGCAACGCGAAGAACCUUACCAGGUCUUGACAUCCUCUGACAACCCUAGAGAUAGGGCGUUCCCCUUCGGGGGACAGAGUGACAGGUGGUGCAUGGUUGUCGUCAGCUCGUGUCGUGAGAUGUUGGGUUAAGUCCCGCAACGAGCGCAACCCUUGACCUUAGUUGCCAGCAUUCAGUUGGGCACUCUAAGGUGACUGCCGGUGACAAACCGGAGGAAGGUGGGGAUGACGUCAAAUCAUCAUGCCCCUUAUGACCUGGGCUACACACGUGCUACAAUGGGCGGUACAAAGGGUCGCGAAACCGCGAGGUGGAGCUAAUCCCAAAAAGCCGCUCUCAGUUCGGAUUGCAGGCUGCAACUCGCCUGCAUGAAGCCGGAAUCGCUAGUAAUCGCGGAUCAGCAUGCCGCGGUGAAUACGUUCCCGGGCCUUGUACACACCGCCCGUCACACCACGAGAGUUUGCAACACCCGAAGUCGGUGAGGUAACCCUUACGGGAGCCAGCCGCCGAAGGUGGGGCAAAUGAUUGGGGUGAAGUCGUAACAAG